rnacentral:rRNA from 1 species
CACAGAGAGCUUGCUCUCGGGUGACGAGCGGCGGACGGCGCCGAGUAAUGUCUGGGAAACUGCCUGAUGGAGGGGGAUAACUACUGGAAACGGUAGCUAAUACCGCAUAACGUCGCAAGACCAAAGUGGGGGACCUUCGGGCCUCAUGCCAUCAGAUGUGCCCAGAUGGGAUUAGCUAGUAGGUGGGGUAACGGCUCACCUAGGCGACGAUCCCUAGCUGGUCUGAGAGGAUGACCAGCCACACUGGAACUGAGACACGGUCCAGACUCCUACGGGAGGCAGCAGUGGGGAAUAUUGCACAAUGGGCGCAAGCCUGAUGCAGCCAUGCCGCGUGUGUGAAGAAGGCCUUCGGGUUGUAAAGCACUUUCAGCGGGGAGGAAGGCGAUAAGGUUAAUAACCUUGGCGAUUGACGUUACCCGCAGAAGAAGCACCGGCUAACUCCGUGCCAGCAGCCGCGGUAAUACGGAGGGUGCAAGCGUUAAUCGGAAUUACUGGGCGUAAAGCGCACGCAGGCG